UUUAGAAUAGCACUGCUGUCACUCCUGCAGUGCUGUGGGAGGAGUCAGAGAUUAUGCAGAAGGAAUUGAAGUUGCUGCAGUACCAGUUGACACCAGGAGCUGCUGCUGAAACAGCUGGCUGAGGGACGACAGGCUCAGGUUGGCAGUUGGAAGAGGAUCUCCAUUCAUGUUGUCCAAUCUAAGCUGCCUCUGCCCACUACCUUCACCAUGUCUGUUUCUUCAUCCAGCUCUUAAUUCAGUCUUCUGGACAGUAACAGUAGCUGGGAACUUUUAUGGAAGCCAGAUCCCCAGAGGAGCACCCUUUCUAACCUGGAGCCCAGCAUCUUUCAGCUCCAUGCCCAGAGUCUUAAGCAAGAGGACCUAUUCCUUUGGGGCCCCAAAAUGCUCCUGAAUGACCUGUAAGGACUCGUUAAGAAUAGUAGGAUGAAGGCUUCUUUGCCCACCCUCCCCUCCAAGGCCCUGUUUCUGGGCUGCCCGCCCCUACCUUCUUGAAGUAGCUAUUAUCUGUCUUAUCUACUGAGGCUUUUCACUGCCUGCCCAUCCUUGCCCCCCAUCUCAGCUCACUGCAACCUCCGCCUCCCAGGUUCAAGCAAUUGUCCUGCCUCAGCCUCCCAAGUAGCUGGGAUUACAGGUGUGCGCUAAUUUUUGUAUUUUUAGUAGAGAUGGGGUUUCACCAUGUUGGCCAGUCUGGUCUUGAACUUCUGACCUCAAGUGAUCUGCCCGCCUCGCCCUCCCAAAGUGCUGGGAUUACAGUUGUGAGCCACCAUGCCCAGCCUAUAGCUGUACCUUCUGAGUGCAAGCUCAGUUGAACUUGGAAAGUAAUGGGAGUUCCCAUUCUGGUGAGUAGAAUGAGGUAGGACACUGCUCUAGGGCAGUAGUGCUGGGGGAUGCAAAGGAGGAUGAGAUAUUCUGGUGGGACUUGGAUCUGGACAGUAGGAGGCUACCUUUCCUCAUCUCCAGCUUCUGCCUUUUUU
rnacentral:lncRNA from 1 species